rnacentral:rRNA from 1 species
GACGAACGCUGGCGGCGCGCUUAACACAUGCAAGUCGAACGGAAAGGCCUGCUUUCCCUUGUGGAUUGCGGGUACUCGAGUGGCGAACGGGUGAGUAACACGUGAGUGAUCUGCCCCCAACUUGGGUAUAAGCCUGGGAAACUGGGUCUAAUUCCCGAUAGGACUGCAGGGUGGUGCCUGUGGUGGAAAACGAUUUUCUAGUGGUUGGGGAUGAGCUCGCGGCCUAUCAGCUUGUUGGUGGGGUAAUGGCCUACCAAGGCGGCGACGGGUAGCCGGCCUGGGAGGGUGGACGGCCACAUUGGGACUGAGAUACGGCCCAGAAUCCUACGGGAGGCAGCAGUGGGGAAGAUUGCACAAGGGGCGGAAGCCUGAUGCAGCGACGCCGCGUGGGGGAUGACGGCCUUCGGGUUGUAAACUCCUUUCGACCGCGAGGAAGCCACCUGGUUGGAAGGGUGGUGACGGUAGUGGUAGAAGAAGCACCGGCUAACUACGUG